GUGAGGAAUAUUGCGCAAUGGAGGCAACUCUGACGCAGCCAUGCCGCGUGCAGGAAGAAGGCGCUACGCGUUGUAAACUGCUUUUAACCGGGAAGAAACCCCAGGACGUGUCCUGGGUUGACGGUACCGGAGGAAUAAGCACCGGCUAACUUCGUGCCAGCAGCCGCGGUAAUACGAAGGGUGCAAGCGUUAUCCGGAUUCAUUGGGUUUAAAGGGUGCGUAGGCGGAGCGUUAAGUCAGUGGUGAAAUCCUGCAGCUUAACUGUAGACUUGCAAUUGAUACUGGCGCGCUUGAGUGCGCUUGAAGUGGGCGGAAUGUGCCGUGUAGCGGUGAAAUGCUUAGAUAUGGCACAGAACACCAAUUGCGAAGGCAGCUCACUAAGGCGAUACUGACGCUGAGGCACGAAAGCGUGGGGAUCGAACAGGAUUAGAUACCCUGGUAGUCC
rnacentral:rRNA from 1 species